rnacentral:lncRNA from 1 species
ACUGCCCCUUUUUUUGCCUGCGAAUGGCGGCGAUUUGAAGUUGGGGCUUUUCGUUUCCUCCAAAACAUUGAUAUCUGGAAAGGGAGCCCCUUAACACUUUUGGAGGGAACUGGCUGCAGCAUUUGGCGGGGAGAGAUAAACUGGUUUCCCACCUCUGCUUACUCCCACCUUCUCCCCUUAAUCUUCUCUUCCUCUGUGCGAGACUUUUUUCCUUUUUUAUUGUAGACACAGGGUCUUUGUUCUGCUGCCCAGGUUGGAGUGCAGUGGCGUGAUCAUAGCUCACUGCAGCCUCAACCCCCCGGGCCCAAGCGAUCCUUCCACCUCAGCCUCCCGAGUAGCUGGGCCUAGAGGUGCACACCACCAUGCCUGGCUAAUUUUUAAUUUUUUUUGUAGAGAUGGAGCCUUUCUAUGUUGCCAAGCCUAGCCUCGAACUCCUGGCCUCCCAAAAUGUGGGGAAUACAGGCGUGAGCCACUGCACCCCGGGUCAUUCCUCUUUUACUUCCUUGCUGUACCCCAACUAUCCUUCCCCCUCGGUGCCCUUAAAACCUUUGCAUUGGGUAAGUACAUUUUUUAAAGAGACUCUAGAAUUGGGCGCCAGUCUCCAAUUAAAAUUGUGAAGCUUUAUGGUCUGCGUAUCAAAAGGAACCUCAGUUCCUUAAAAAUCCUGUCAUUUUGCCUUUAGGACUUAACGGUAAUAGAAUGGCAUUCCUCACUGCCUCCGAACCACUCAAGCUGCUGCCCAUGCACUCUCUUCUGCAUGGCUCCUGGACUAAGCAGCCUCCCUUUGAUUAAGCAGGUAAAAACCAAAUAAAGUUGUCAGACUAUAUGCCCUGCCCAGUGUGCAGUCUAGACCCAGCCUUUGUCUGCCAAGAGCCUGGAAAUGUUGACCUCCGUUAUUAAGCCUGGUCAGUCUAAGACUAAUUCUUAUUACCGAAGUACCAUUAGGUAAAUGUGCUAGCUAUAGAUUUAAGUGACAUAAAAGAUCUUAAAGAAUUCUCCAAGGGAUCUGUGGGGGGUUUAUGUAUUUAUUCAUUAAAAGAUCUGUAAACAACAUUUUAUACAAAUCUUGAUUCUUUUACAAAAAUAUCCAGAAUUCCUAACACUUUACAGAAAACACAACAGACCUAAGGAAAUGAAGCAGCUUCAGGCUGCGAGGAUGAAGACACCAUUGCUGAAGCAAAGGUCUCCUCCUAGAGGGAUAGCCAGGAUCCAUCACAGUAAACCCUUUUACCCCCAUUUUAUAAACAUCCAAUUAUUAACUGUUCCUGCUGGGUUGGAGUGUAAGAAGAGACCAAAUGGAGAGAUGUCUAGUAGAAGCCCCACUGGGGGUAACCUGCUUAACAUUAAAAAAAAGACAGGCUCAGUUCUAUUCCCUGGACCCACAUCUGUAGGAAUUAUAUUAUACAGCACCAGUCUUAAAUGGUGUUCUGCUUCAGAUUCAUGCAUACCUGAAUGGGUUGUAAUGACAAUACUGUACAAGUCAAUAAACUGUAUCACAAUACAACUUACACAGUUUUGUAAGGUUGAAUAAAUACUUUCUGUGCCAGUUAAAACCAUCAGCAGAAACUGAAGAAAACAAACUGACAUUUGCUAUAACAUUAAUCAAUGAAAAGUGCACCAUCUGAACUUGAAUUUGCCCAUGAGUUUGAAAACACACACACACACACACACACACACACACAGGCCGGGUGCAGUGACUCAUGCCUGUAAUCCCAGCACUUUGGGAGGCCAAGGUGGGUGGAUCACCUGAGGUCAGGAGUUCGAGACCAGCCUGGCCAACAUGGUGAAACCCCCGUCUCCACUAAAAGUACAAAAUUAGCCAGGUGUGGUGGCGGGUGCCUAUAAUUCCAGCUACUCAGGAGGCUGAGGCAGGAGAAUUGCUUGAAGCCGGGAGGCGGAGGUUGCAGUGAGCCGAGAUCACACCAUUGCACUCCAGCCUGGGCAAAAAGAGCGAAACUCCAUCUCAAAAAAAAAAAAAAAAAACCGAAACAAAACACACACACACACACAUACACACACAAAAAAAACACUGCACCAUCACUGAAAACUUUCUCUUUCCAAUCACUACUACUACUACUUUAGAUAUUAAAGGUCUGGAUGACUAAGUGGUAUAUGUUCAAGGAAUGUUCAUAUUUUGAGUCUAAUUUAAUUAGAGCAAAAAUUUCAACAUUUCUAGGGGAAUAAAAAGAGUCUCAUCUAGGCACCUAUAAAGUUCCUUAUCCUCAGAGCUGAAAAGUGGCUCUGGUACACUUAAUAGAAAAUUUUUAUUAAUAAAAGAAAUAGCUAUAUAAUCCUACUGAGAUGAAAUUUCCAUCUGUAGGACUAACCAACUUUUUCUGUGUCCAUAAAAGUCUUGGCUUCAGUUCUGUGUUGUACAACUUUGGGCAACGUAUUUAACUUCUUUGAAUUUGUUUUUUUCUUUUUUCUUUUCCUUUUUUCUUUUUUUUGAGAUGGAGUCUCGCUCUGUCACCCUGGCUGGAAUGCAGUGGCGCGAUCUCGGCUCACUGCAACCUCUGCCUCCUGGGCUCAAGCGAUUCUCAUGGCUCAGCCUCCCGAGCAGCCAGGAUUACAGGCACCUGCCACCACACCCAGCUAAUUUUUUGUGUGUAUUUUUAGUAGAGACAGAGUUUCACCAUGUUGCCAGGCUGGUCUCGAACUCCUGACCUCAAAUGAUCCACUCGCCUUGGACUCCCAUAGUGCUGGGAUUACAGACGUGAGCCAUAGCACCCAGCCUCAGUUUAUUAGUAAAAUGGAGAUGCAAAUAUCUAUCUCAUAAGGUUGAUUUAAGGAUUGGUUGAGAUGAUAUGCAUACAUAUACCACAGUGCAUGGCACAUGGUGGACACUAAAAAAUAAAGGUGGCUCCCAUGCCCUUGAAAGGACAUUUUCAUAUUAGCUAUAAUUUCACAAAGUUUAAAUUUAUUUACUUAUUUUUAAAAUGUUUUUGUAGAGAUGGGAUCUUGCUAUGUUGCCCAGGCUAGUCUCAAACUCCCACCCUCAAACUCCUGCCUUAGCCUCCCAAAGUGGUGGAGAUUACAGGUGUGAGCCACUGCAUCCAGCCUCCACAAAGUUUAAUGUUGACAUGUGAGGCACAAGCAAACUACUCAAAUGCCACAUAAUUUGGAGGAGGAGUUGCAAGAUGUCUAAUUUUAUAAGGUACUUAAUAACAGUACCUUAUAAUAUUACAAGUAGGGCUUCCUCCUAAGUGAGAUUCCCCUAGAUAUAAUAUAAGGCAAAACAAUGGAGAUAUGUGAUGAGUCUAUUCCUUAGCCCAGGUCAAACAGCCCAUGGGUUUAAAGGGGCCAUGAUAGUUCAGUGAUGAGAAUUAUGUGUAUAAGGCUAGUGUUCUCCAUUUCCAUCAUGUCUCUCUACUACCUUAAACUCAGCAUUUCUCUCAUUAUUCUCAUCUUUGAGCUAUUUUUUAAAUGUAACAACAACAAGGCUUUUCCUUGUGAAACACAACUACUUUCACAGACAAAGCACAAAACAGAGAAUGAGCCCAAGAAUCACAUAGAAAAGGCUGCUAUAAAAAAAAAAUGGAGACAGAGUAAAGAUGGCAUGGUGCCAGACCAUUCCCAACAAUUCUCCAGUGAUUACUACAGCAGCAACAGGAGAAUCCUCCUCUAACAGCCUGACUCGCUCUUUAACCUUUUAAAAUUUCAAGAAUUUUGUAGAAUACUUCAUGGGAUCCUGACCCUUAGAAAAAUAUUUUCUUUGGCACUUUCUGUUGUAUAUUCAGGAUGGAGACAAUCAGAGAUUUCAUUUCUUUUGCAGAAAUUUCAUUUUGCUUCCUAAAGGGAAAGAAAAGUACAGUGAAUGCUCAAUUCAUUUUUAUUUAUUGUACAUUAUUUGAGGUAAGGGAUUAACAGGUCAGUCAUUCAGAACAGCCCAAGAGUUAAGCUGACAUCUCAAACUCAGUUGAUG